rnacentral:rRNA from 1 species
CCUACGGGUGGCAGCAGUGGGGAAUAUUGCACAAUGGGGGAAACCCUGAUGCAGCGACGCCGCGUGAGCGAUGAAGUCUUUCGGUAUGUAAAGCUCUAUCAGCAGGGAGAAAAAUGAUGGUACCUGAUUAAUAAGCCUCGGCUAACUACGUGCCAGCAGCCGCGGUAAUACGUAGGGGGCAAGCUUUAUCCGGAUUUACUGGGUGUAAAGGGAGCGUAGAGGGGGUUGCAGGCCAGAUGUGAAAGUCCGGGGCUCAACCCCGGGACUGCAUUUGGAACUGUGUUGCUAGAGUGUCGGAGAGGCAGGCGGAAUUCCUAGUGUAGCGGUGAAAUGCGUAGAUAUUAGGAGGAACACCAGUGGCGAAGGCGGGCUGCUGGACGAUGACUGACGUUGAGGCUCGAAAGCGUGGGGAGCAAACAGGAUUAGAUACCCUUGUAGUC